rnacentral:misc_RNA from 1 species
AACCGAACAGAUGAAGAGAGAUGCUGCUAAAAUGGUAAAAAGGUAAAUGUUUGAAACUAAAAGAGCCAUUAAAGUUGAGAAAAUUUAUAGUGAGAAGAAUGAAGAGUAGAUGGAUGAAGGAGAGGGAGGAGGAGGAUAGUUAUAUAUUGGCUUGGUUUCAUGUAUUUUUUGCUUUCAAAUGAAGUAGCUGAAAAUAUUUUUAAUGCAUAACCAGUCUUUAAGACUGGUUCCCUUUGCAUGUUUUGUUCUAAGCAAUUUG